rnacentral:rRNA from 1 species
UGACGGAAAAAACUGCGAAGCUGGCGGCGUGCCUAAUACAUGCAGUCGAGCGGACGAGAUAGAAGGAGCUUGCUCCCUGAUGUUAGCGGCGGACGGGUGAGUAACACGUGGGUAACCUGCCUGUAAGACUGGGAUAACUCCGGGAAACCGGGGCUAAUACCGGAUGCUUGAUUGAACCGCAUGGUUCAAUUAUAAAAGGUGGCUUUUAGCUACCACUUACAGAUGGACCCGCGGCGCAUUAGCUAGUUGGUGAGGUAACGGCUCACCAAGGCAACGAUGCGUAGCCGACCUGAGAGGGUGAUCGGCCACACUGGGACUGAAACACGGCCCAGACUCCUACGGGAGGCAGCAGUAGGGAAUCUUCCGCAAUGGACGAAAGUCUGACGGAGCAACGCCGCGUGAGUGAUGAAGGUUUUCGGAUCGUAAAACUCUGUUGUUAGGGAAGAACAAGUACCGUUCGAAUAGGGCGGUACCUUGACGGUACCUAACCAGAAAGCCACGGCUAACUACGUGCCAGCAGCCGCGGUAAUACGUAGGUGGCAAGCGUUGUCCGGAAUUAUUGGGCGUAAAGCGCGCGCAGGCGGUUUCUUAAGUCUGAUGUGAAAGCCCGCGGCUCAACCGGGGAGGGUCAUUGGAAACUGGGGAACUUGAGUGCAGAAGAGGAGAGUGGAAUUCCACGUGUAGCGGUGAAAUGCGUAGAGAUGUGGAGGAACACAGUGGCGAAGGCGACUCUCUGGUCUGUAACUGACGCUGAGGCGCGAAAGCGUGGGGAGCGAACAGGAUUAGAUACCCUGGUAGUCCACGCCGUAAACGAUGAGUGCUAAGUGUUAGAGGGUUUCCGCCCUUUAGUGCUGCACAAACGCAUUAAGCACUCCGCCUGGGGAGUACGGUCGCAGGACUGG